GUGCCAGCAGCCGCGGUAAUACGGAAGGUCCGGGCGUUAUCCGGAUUUAUUGGGUUUAAAGGGAGCGCAGGCGGAGAGCUAAGCGUGACGUGAAAUGUAGCCGCCCAACGGCUGACGUGCGUCGCGAACUGGUUUUCUUGAGUGGGUACGACGUCGGCGGAACUCGUGGUGUAGCGGUGAAAUGCUUAGAUAUCACGAGGAACCCCGAUUGCGAAGGCAGCCGACGAGUCCCUUACUGACGCUAAAGCUCGAAGGUGCGGGUAUCGAACAGGAUUAGAUACCCUGGUAGUCCGCACGGUAAGCGAUGGAUGCCCGCUGUUGGCGACACACUGUCAGCGGCCAAGCGAAAGCGUUAAGCAUCCCACCUGGGGAGUACGCCGGCAACGGUGAAACUCAAAGGAAUUGACGGGGGCCCGCACAAGCGGAGGAACAUGUGGUUUAAUUCGAUGAUACGCGAGGAACCUUACCCGGGCUUGAACUGCCGGCGAACGAUUCAGAGAUGAUGAGGCCCUUCGGGGCGCCGGUGGAGGUGCUGCAUGGUUGUCGUCAGCUCGUGCCGUGAGGUGUCGGCUUAAGUGCCAUAACGAGCGCAACCCCUCUCCGUAGUUGCCAUCGGGUUAAGCCGGGCACUCUGCGGACACUGCCACCGCAAGGUGUGAGGAAGGUGGGGAUGACGUCAAAUCAGCACGGCCCUUACGUCCGGGGCUACACACGUGUUACAAUGGGGAGUACAGAGAGCCGGUCGGUGGCAACACCGAUCCAAUCCUUAAAGCUCUCCUCAGUUCGGAUUGGGGUCUGCAACCCGACCCCAUGAAGCUGGAUUCGCUAGUAAUCGCGCAUCAGCCAUGGCGCGGUGAAUACGUUCCCGGGCCUUGUACACACCGCCCGU
rnacentral:rRNA from 1 species